rnacentral:rRNA from 1 species
UACAGAGACUGCAAGCGUUAUUCGGAUUCACUGGGCGUAAAGGGUGCGCAGGCGGUUGGGUGUGUCAGAUGUGAAAUCCCGAGGCUUAACCUCGGAACUGCGUCUGAAACUACUCGACUAGAGUACUGGAGAGGGUAACGGAAUUCACGGUGUAGCAGUGAAAUGCGUAGAUAUCGUGAGGAACACCAGAGGCGAAGGCGGUUACCUGGACAGUUACUGACGCUGAGGCACGAAAGCGUGGGGAGCAAACAGG